rnacentral:rRNA from 1 species
UACGUAGGGGGCAAGCGUUGUCCGGAUUUAUUGGGCGUAAAGAGCGUGUAGGCGGUCAGGUAGGUCAGCUGUGAAACUCGAGCUCAACCUCGAGACGCCGAUGGAAACCCUCAGACUAGAGUCCGGAAGAGGAGAGUGGAAUUCCUGGUGUAGCGGUGAAAUGCGCAGAUAUCAGGAAGAACACCCGUGGCUAAGGCGGCUCUCUAGUACGGUACUGACGCUGAGACGCGAAAGCGUGGGGAGCGAACAGG